rnacentral:rRNA from 1 species
CUCGACAACUGAUAUCUUGGCUCUCGCAUCGAUGAAGAAUGUAGUGAAAUGCAAUACUUGGUGUGAAUUGUAGAAAUCCCGGAACCAUCGAGUAUUUUGAACGCAAGGUUGCGCCCUGGAACCUUUUUGGCCAACCCCACAUCUUCCUAGGCAUCACG